GCAAACUUGGUCAUUUAGAGGAAGUAAAAGUCGUAACAAGGUUUCCGUAGGUGAACCUGCGGAAGGAUCAUUAUUGAAUACAAACAUGGUCGGGUUGUUGCUGGCUUUUAUAAGCAUUGUGCACACUUGAUCUGUUGUUAAUCUCCUCCUGUGCAUUUUGUGUAGAUUUAAACACACUUGUCGAAGUGACUCGAUUAGAGAAUCUGCUGUUUGAAAAGACAGCUUUUCUUGUGUUUUAAAUCUACAAUAUUUUACACACACUCUGUCUUAAAGUAUUAAAGAAAUAAAACAAAACAAAUACAACUUUCAACAACGGAUCUCUUGGCUCUCGCAUCGAUGAAGAACGCAGC
rnacentral:misc_RNA from 1 species